rnacentral:rRNA from 1 species
UACGUAGGUGGCAAGCGUUGUUCGGAAUUAUUGGGCGUAAAGGGCGCGUAGGCGGUUUGUUAAGUCGGUCGUGAAAGCCCGGGGCUCAACCCCGGAGGGUCGACCGAUACUGGCAGACUAGAGUACAGAAGAGGUAACUGGAAUUCCCGGUGUAGCGGUGAAAUGCGUAGAUAUCAGGAGGAACACCGGUGGCGAAGGCGGAUCUCUGGGCCUUGCCUGACGCUGAGGCGCGAAAGCUAGGGGAGCGAACAGG